rnacentral:rRNA from 1 species
UGGGGAAUAUUGCACAAUGGGCGCAAGCCUGAUGCAGCCAUGCCGCGUGUAUGAAGAAGGCCUUCGGGUUGUAAAGUACUUUCAGCGGGGAGGAAGGGAGUAAAGUUAAUACCUUUGCUCAUUGACGUUACCCGCAGAAGAAGCACCGGCUAACUCCGUGCCAGAAGCCGCGGUAAUACGGAGGGUGCAAGCGUUAAUCGGAAUUACUGGGCGUAAAGCGCACGCAGGCGGUUUGUUAAGUCAGAUGUGAAAUCCUCGGGCUCAACCUGGGAACUGCAUCUGAUACUGGCAAGCUUGAGUCUCGUAGAGGGGGGUAGAAUUCCAGGUGUAGCGGUGAAAUGCGUAGAGAUCUGGAGGAAUACCGGUGGCGAAGGCGGCCCCCUGGACGAAGACUGACGCUCAGGUGCGAAAGCGUGGGGAGCAAACAGG